GACGAACGCUGGCGGCGUGCUUAACACAUGCAAGUCGAACGGAAAGGCCCUGCUUGCAGGGUGCUCGAGUGGCGAACGGGAGAGUAACACGAUGGUGAUCUGCCCCGCACUUCUGGAUAAUCCUGGGAAACUUGAUCUAAUAGCGGAUAGGAGCCAGUGUUAGUAUGUUGGUUGGCAAGUUUUUUGGGUGUAGGGUGAGCUCGCGGCCUAACAGCUUGUUGGUCGGGUAAUGGCCGAACAAGGCGGCGACGGGUAGCAGGCCUGAGAGGGUGGACGGCCAGAGUGAGGAUGAGAUAAGGCCCAGAAUCCGACGGGAGGCAGGAGGGGGGGAUAUUGAACAAUGGGCGCAAGCCCGAUGCAGACACGCCGCGUGGGGGAUGACGGCCUUCGGGUUGUAAACUCCUUUCGCUAGGGAGGAAGCUUUUUGUGACGGUACCUAGAUAAGAAGCACCGGCUAACUACGUG
rnacentral:rRNA from 1 species